UUCCCGGGGUCUGGGGCUAAUUCCUCCUCUCUUACCCAUAAACUCAGCUCCUCGAGCUAAAUACACAAAAGGGAGCGAGAGGUUCGAUCCGUUGGAAAAAGUCUGUUAUAUAUAGUAGGGUUAGAGGCGAGUUAAGAGAAAAAAACAAUAAACACCACAGCUCUUUCCAGCUAGAAUAUUAGGCACCACGAGAAAAAUAUUUGCCAAGCAGUUUUCGCUCUGCCUGGAACUCCUUAAGGGACCUGAGCAGAACCACUAGUCAGGACUCAGUUUCCUCAACUGGAUGAAGGAAUAACCCAGAAACCUCCAAAGCUGACCCAGGCCUCUCUUAAAAUCUGAGAAGUCCUGCUUCCCACUCAACCACGUCCCCAAAAUAGAGUCAGGGAAAUGAAGGAACCUGCCAUUAUUAUUUUAGUAUACCAAAUUGGAAGCAAUUUAAUAAUUUCUGUAUGCCACUGUCUGGAUAGAGAACUAUCAGGAGAACACUGGGGAGGUGCCAAAGGCCAAAUGUCUUCAUGGUGGUAGAUGAUUCAAGCCACUUCAUCAAUCCAUUUGUUCAACUUUUCUCUGUGGAAGCCCUCCAUGGAAACAAGACCCUGAAAGAUGUUGCCGUCGGUCCAUACAGGACAUAUGGAACUUGGAGAUUCAUCACUGAGGAUGGAGAUGCCCCAAGAGCUUCCUAGAAUAUCUGCUAUUUGAUUGUAGAACGCCAAUAGAGCCAUGAAUCUCAUCAGAGUUGUAACUCUGGGUGUCUAGAGAAGAACAGCUGACCGGACCCCAUAACUCUAUGAGUUUGUCUUCCUUAUCUGGAUAUGACCCCAUAAUCUAAACUCUCCUCAUCUUUCAGUUCUACAGUUCUACAUUUGAGAAAGGCCCAGAGAGGGACAUGGUUUGCAAAGACCACCCCACAAAUUACUGGUAGAGUUGAUUCCCAUCAACUUGUCCACCCUGAAUCAUUUAUUUUGCUGCAGUAUCCAUUUUGGUAAACUGAGGACUGGUAUUACAUUGAUGUACAUUGUUUCAGAAAUGCCUCAUUAAUUUCUAACCAAUUGUCACUUAUCAAUGGUGUCUAGUUCCAAUGCUGCCCUUGAGUUCUAAAUGUCUCUUCCUUCUUUCCCUUCACCUUUUCCCACUUCUAUCAGCCUCUCUGCCAAGUAGUUAUAAGAUCUUUGAACCAACACUUAGAUUCACUAUGGAGGCUGACAUUUAAAUAAUUCUUGGUGAAAAUAUGGUGAGACUGACUCCUAUCAUACUCCAUAUUGGUUAGCAUGACUCUUCCAGCGAUCUAUUUGGUCACAUGUAUCAAGAAUCAUAAAUGUAGUUAUGCCCUUUGACCCAGUAAUUCUACUUCUAGAAAUCUAUCUUCAAGGCACAAUUCAACAUACAGGGGAAAAAUAUCUUUGAAUAAAUAUAUGCAUCCAAGCCUAAUAUAUAACAACAGAAAAUUUGCACAACGCACCUGUGCCAUCAUGACUGGGUUAGGGGAGAGGGUGUUGGAUGGAGAAUGUUUAAGUAAAUUAGUAAAUUAUAAUACAACUUGUUUUUAAAAAUUAGAGUUGGAAAAUACUUAUGGUAACAGGUAAGGUGAA